UCCGGUUAAUCGCUGCGCUUUCUUUGUGCUGUUCACGUGUAGAUAAACUGCAGAAAUCUCUAGCUCUAUCGUCAUUUUCGCCUAGAUAAACUUGUCAAGGUCGUUCCACCAUCAGUUUGUAUGCAAAGAUAAGAUUUCAUUUUACAAACCCUCAUGGCACCAUGGUCAGAACUUCUCACAAAUCCCUCCAAGCGCCGAGCUGUGUUAGCGACAGUGGCCAUCACUGGCAUCGUGGUAGGCGGUUACUUGUACCUCAGAGAUAAGUUGAGUACAUCUGGAGAUGGAACAAGGCGUAUCUAGGUUACUAUGGUGUUGGCAUGCUGAGAAAGAAAUCCACGUUGGACUUCUAAAACAAUGUCUUCUGACAGUGCUGCGCUUAAUUACAUCAAUGGUUCUCACGCCACAUCAAAAGAUGAAGACUUUUUCUACCAACAGUUCCUUUUUGUAACAGGCCUAUAUUCAAAAAAGAUUUGCUGCCUACAGUAAGCAGAGCUGAGAAAUAGAGAACAGGCCAAAAAAUGGAAUUUCGACAAAUGAAAUGAAAGCUCAUCGAUCAAAGUUAUUAAAGGUAUGUA